AUCCUACUGUGUACAUCUCUGUACACACUCUAUUCAGCGAGCUACCUAUAGAUGCAUUAUGACGUCAUACACUUGUAAAAUUAAAGUUUCAUUUUCACUUUUGUUUCUAAGAAGUGAACUUAAAUUUUCAGAAAAUGUAGGACUAUCUUUUGUUUUUCCUCUCUUUUUCUAUGAUGAUUGUUAUGCUAUGAAGCUUUCCUUGUAUAAAGCUCAAUUUCUCUAUGAUCACUGAAGUAAUCAUCCUGAUGCAUUCUUGCCAUAUGAAUGUUGAGACCAUGUUCUGACAGACAUAUUCCACAGGAUCAGCUGAGAUGUUAUUUCACUGGAUUAUUUAAUUGAUAGACUUAUUAGGCAUAUAUUUGGAUAUCUCUGUCAUCAACAUGGAAGAUAUGUUUUGUUCCUCUAUGAACUUCAGACUGUCUGCUCUUCCUUUGGAAAUAUACAUUUAAUCAAGCAACAUAGAAACACACAAACUUGAAGGAUAUUCUAGUGAGGGCUUGUGGAAAUGAUCUAUGUCUACUCUCAGAAUGGUGAAAGACUAUCAGAUUAUGCAAAGACUAACAGAAUAUCCUCUCUUGGAACACUGAAACAAGAAAAUCAAACAGGAGGUGGAUGGAGGAUUUAAGAAGCACAUAAAUAAAUAUGAGUUCCAACCAAUUUAAGUACGAUCAUAGACUGUGGUUUACAGGAUGACAAAGAAAGGACCCAGGAUUGUAUCUUUUACUGUCAGACACUGACUUUGGAUAAGAUGUAGCCAUUUAUCAAACUGAGAUCUAGUCAAAUCAAGUACUGAGAACAUGAUUUUCAGAUAGCAUGAGCUCUUUAAAAACUAAUUCUCACAGACCUCAAAGUAUCUGGAUGUGACUUUUAUUUUUUACCAAUUCAUAUUGAAGACUGUUGUAAUGUAUGAUUUUUAUACAUUGGAUCCUUUAUUUUUCAUCUAAUUUCUACAACCCCUAACAAAUUACACAGAUGUUUAAAAACCAGCUUUGGUGUAAUUAUUACUUUCCUGGAUCUGUAAAUACAUUUUGUUUGUGUAUGUGUGUGUCCUAUUUUGAAUUUAAUAGGUCUC